UACGUAGGUGACAAGCGUUGUCCGGAAUUAUUGGGCGUAAAGGGAGCGCAGGCGGUUGGAAUAGUCUGAUGUGAAAGCCCACGGCUUAACCGUGGAAGGUCAUUGGAAACUGUCCAACUUGAAUGCAGAAGAGGUAAGUGGAAUUCCAUGUGUAGCGGUGAAAUGCGUAGAUAUAUGGAAGAACACCAGUGGCGAAGGCGACAUUCUGGUCUGUUACUGACACUGAGGCUCGAAAGCGUGGGGAGCAAACAGG
rnacentral:rRNA from 1 species